rnacentral:misc_RNA from 1 species
AUUCGCAGUAGUUGGCACAACACUAGGAGCCAUGGCUGGAGCUCGGGUUGGAUUGAAAAGCAAGAGUGGCUUUCUUCAUGGCGCCACAGUUGGAACCCUUAUGGGGUGUAUUCUCUCUGCCUAAAUCUUCAAACUAUCACUUGCUUUCUGGGAUUCUGAUGAUUGUGUAGUUAGGUUCUUCAUUUCUUUGGUAGGUUGUCUCUGCUUCCUUCCUUGGAACUACACUAGUCAUUAUGGUGGCUUAGAACUGAGAAUUCAUAUCUUAAUCUUUGUCUCCUAAAGAUUGAAAAAGUUUCACAUUGCCUAAAAGAAAGACUCAUACAAGGAAGGCUUAGUCCAGCCAUGAAUGCUCUGCAAGAAACUCAGGUGAUUUUUAGCGAGAAAUACGUUAUUAAUUUGUGGUAAUAAAAUAUAUGUAAGUAAUUAACUGUUCAUUUCAAUGUGAAUGUGAUGCUUCAGGUUGAUGGUGUCUUUCUAGCAAGCAAGGAUGUCCGAAGGACGCAGAAAAUUCCAAAGAUUGAACUCGCAGACGAAAACAUAGUAGAUACCUUACGCAAUGGAGCAUCCUGUUCAAUUUGUCUUCAGGACUUCGAGGUGGGGGAAACGGUUUGUAGCUUGCCCCAUUGCCACCACACCUUUCAUCUACCAUGUAUUCUUAAGUGGUUUGAUGGACACUGCUCUUGCCCGUUGUGUAGAACAAGAUUAUCCAGAACGUGGAUCAAUGUAGCAUGUAAAAUGAGAAAAGAACUGCAAAAUGCAAGUUAGCAUAGAAUAGAAUGCAAUGUGUGAGAAUAGAUUCUUUUACAUCUUGAAUUGUACGCAUCCUGAUCUAGAAAUAUGAUGAUGAUGAUAUCAAAUUAUUGGUUGAUGGGUUAUUUUGUCUUGUGAUAGAUAUUGCAUAUGCAAGGAUGAUUUAUAUGCAUUUAUUUUUACUUGACUUGGGAUAUAAAUUUAAUACAAAGGGCUUUUGCGUUUCUAUCAAACUUCCUAUCAUUUCCAGUUGGCCAAAGUACAGAGAACGGAAUUACUAAAUAAUAAGUGAAAUUACAGUUCUUGCAAAAGCUCUCGGACUCCUUGAAUCAAAGAAUUCCAUAACUAUAGAAACUAGACAAACAACUCCACGCACUUAAGUUGAGAAACCAUACCACUUUUUGCGAGUGGAAAUGGCUGAGCAUGAACCUUGGUUGGAAGAAUCGCCAGACU